rnacentral:lncRNA from 1 species
CUUUCAUGUGGCUGCUCUUUUUCUUAUACCUUUCUCUGGUGCGCGGACAUACACUCACUCACACACACACAUAAAAACAAAAGACAAAUAUUUAUAUUUAAUAAUUUUUUUAAAAAGAAACAUAGGAUAAAUAUCUGCCAUGAAUUCAUAAAAAAAAGACAAUAUUUGAACCAUAAGAUCAAAUCUGCUUCAAAGUUGUAAAAACUAAUCCUGAUAAUUCAGUGUACGUAUUCAAAACGAAAUUACGAUGACCAUAAUCAUUCUAUUCAUUUACGUUAAAAGUGCAUAUCUGUUCGAUGAAAAACAUGUCUUGUAUUACUUAUGUUGUGCAAUGUGAAUCGUAUUGUUAAACCAGUCAAUCAUGUUAUUCAUUCUAUAUUUUACUAUACCAACUAUAUAUUCAACAAACCCGCAUAAUAGAACGAGUAUUUUAGCUGAAAAUUUGAACUUUUACUUCCUCUGUCAUCUCUCUAAACAAACUUUUCCACCGCCUACCUCCUUUCAUCCAAAUCAUAACAACAGGAUGUAGAAACUGUGUGGUGGUGCGAUGAGAAUCUUUCUUCUCCACACCACCCUUUCCGGUCGUUUGAUGUUGCUUCAAGCUUCCUCUGGUUCCUUUUGAGCGGCGGCGUUUGCUUUGGAGGUGGUCCUACUUUCAGAUCGGCGCUUGUUUUGCUUGGGUCGGUCCUCACCACCUAUCACUUGGUUGUUCCGGUAGUGUUUGUUUGUGUAGCACCAUAGAUAGGAUUCCGUUUGUUUUGUUGAUGGCGCCGCUGCGGUGGUGAGCUGGUGGCAGCGUCGUCUCCUCUUGUUCUGUUUUGGCUGGCUCGUCGGAGGUUUUCUCCGUUGAUCUUGUCUCUGUUGUUGGUUUCUUGCUGUUUUCUGUAUGGUUUUUUUUUGCUUUUUCGUAUUGUUUGCUUAUGUGUUUCAGAUCAGAGACUUCGGGUGGUGGUUGUUAUGGCCUUGUUUUGGUUUCGUAAACCCGAAAGGGUUUGGUUCUUUUAACCCGAAAGGGUUGUUUGGGUUCUUUGCAAUCCGUUGAUUUUGUGCUCUUGUGCUUGACUCUCUGAUGUUCCAGGUCUGUUGAGAUCUGCAGGCUUCAAGUCUUCAGGAUUACGUCCUCUCCAGUUCUGACCUGUUAUCCAUCUCGGUCAAUGUGAUUGUUAUCGGACUGUUAAGCUCGAAAAAACUAUUAUACCUGCUGCUUUGUUAAGGGGGUUGUUGGUACGUGGAUCUUGAUACCGUGUUGGCGGUCGAUCCAUUCGCCUCUAAACCUUAUUUAAUUCUAUGGAUGUACACUCUUCAUAUUUUUUAUUUUUUUUUUAAUCUGGUUUCGUGUUCGUACGCGGGCACGCUGGGUUGCGUUCGUGAGGAGUGCUCUUUCUGUUAGGAUUAUUUAGGGAAGGGCUACCUGGGUUGUAUUAUAUUGUAUUAUUCCCAUUUAGAUUGUACCUGGAUCAGGCCUAAUGUCCCCCCAGUCUCUGUAUCUCUUUAUUUUUAUUUAUUAUAUUUUGGUUUCUUGCCUAAAAAAAAAAAAAAAAA